CCCAAAAAAAGUCUGAAAAAUGCUCUAAAACUUCAGCAGUUUAUAUACAGUAGGACUCUGGUUUAGUCGAGUCAGACAACAAAUAGAAGCUUGAUAUUAUUUCUUCAGAUGUUUUGUGUUUUUAAUUGUCCGUUUGUCUUGUUGCUGCUGGUUUCCUUUUGUGUAUUUGUCUUUUUUUGUUUAUAUAUAGCAGUAUAUAGGAGUAAAAAGUACAUUUCCCUCUGAAAUGUGAUGGAGUAGAAGUAUUAAGUAGCAUUAAAUGGAAAUAGUAAAGUACAAAUACCUCAGAUUUGUACUUAAAUAUGCAGCACUUGAAAAAGAUACCUUCCACCUCAGCAUGUUUUAAGUUGUUUUUUUUAUUCUGACUGAAUUUAAAUAGUUAUUAAAAUUAUUUGUUUUAUUAAAACCACAGAAGCCGUGCACAAAACUCAGAUUAAAAUCGUUCCACUCCUCCCACCUUGAACCAAUGAAUCAAAAGGUUUGUGCACACUUAAAAGAAAUGAACUAGACUUAUUUACCUAUUUACAACUUAGUGUGUUUUGUUUCAUCCUUUAUGAGAUUAAAUCACGCCUUUAAAGUUGAUCCACUUACUUAAGUAUAUGAAUAACUCAUAACUUUGACCUCCAACAUUGAUUAUGUUUCAUCAUGUCAGAGCUCUCUGUAUCAACUCUUACACUGGAAGGGUUCGGA